UGUUGUUACAUAGUGGUUACUGUGUUUCUUUUUCUUCUGUAAGGGAGAGUCAGCCAUCAUGGCUCCAACUUUGUGUGUGCAUCUGUGUUUCCAAUCAGGAUUUUGUGCUAUAUCCACCGUACAUAGCAAAUGGCAAUGAGGAUUUCGAGAACCUUCUAUGUAUCAGAGUAGCAAGCCAAUCUAUCACAUUGCUUGCAACCGGAAGGAGGGGAAACGGGGAGGGGAGUCUGAUACAACUAGGAAGAAGCUGUUGGAGGAAAAUCCCUAACCUUCUAUCACUAGGAUGGAUAGAUGAGUGUAGACUAAACUGUUAUCUGUAUAAGCUACAUGACAAGAGAUAGAAUCAGCAUUCAAGUUUGAUACUGUACCACCAACGUGACUGAGAAUUAGGCCACGGACUUCAGUGGGAAUAGGAUCAGGCCCUUAGAUACCAAGAUCAUAGGCACCUUCGAAGUACCUAACACAGGUAAGAUAGAAACAAUGACAUCUGCUUUGAGAAGGAAUAAAAGGAAUCUCUCCUGAGCUCA
rnacentral:lncRNA from 1 species